rnacentral:rRNA from 1 species
UACGAAGGGGGCGAGCGUUGUUCGGAAUUACUGGGCGUAAAGCGUGCGUAGGUGGUGAGUUAAGUCUGUCGUGAAAGCCCCGGGCUCAACCUGGGAAUGGCGAUGGAUACUGGCUCGCUAGAGUGCGGUAGAGGAGAGUGGAAUUCCCGGUGUAGCAGUGAAAUGCGUAGAGAUCGGGAGGAACAUCAGUUGCGAAGGCGGCUCUCUGGACCAGCACUGACACUGAGGCACGAAAGCGUGGGGAGCAAACAGG